rnacentral:rRNA from 1 species
CCAUGCUGUAAACGUUGUCUACUAGCCGUUGGGGGACAUGAUUCCUUAGUGGCGCAGCUAACGCGAUAAGUAGACCGCCUGGGGAGUACGGUCGCAAGACUAAAACUCAAAUGAAUUGACGGGGGCCCGCACAAGCGGUGGAGCAUGUGGUUUAAUUCGAUGCAACGCGAAGAACCUUACCUGGCCUUGACAUACCAAGAGUUUGCUAGAGAUAGCGAAGUGCCUUCGGGAACUUGGAUACAGGUGCUGCAUGGCUGU